CCUACGGGUGGCAGCAGUGGGGAAUAUUGCACAAUGGGCGCAAGCCUGAUGCAGCGACGCCGCGUGGGGGAUGACGGCCUUCGGGUUGUAAACUCCUUUCGCUAGGGACGAAGCUUUUUGUGACGGUGCCUAGAUAAGAAGCACCGGCUAACUACGUGCCAGCAGCCGCGGUAAUACGUAGGGUGCGAGCGUUGUCCGGAAUUACUGGGCGUAAAGGGCUCGUAGGUGGUUUGUCGCGUCGUCUGUGAAAUUCCGGGGCUUAACUCCGGGCGUGCAGGCGAUACGGGCAUAACUUGAGUACUGUAGGGGUAACUGGAAUUCCUGGUGUAGCGGUGAAAUGCGCAGAUAUCAGGAGGAACACCGAUGGCGAAGGCAGGUUACUGGGCAGUUACUGACGCUGAGGAGCGAAAGCAUGGGUAGCGAACAGGAUUAGAUACCCGGGUAGUC
rnacentral:rRNA from 1 species